rnacentral:rRNA from 1 species
AACGAACGCUGGCGGCAGGCUUAACACAUGCAAGUCGAGCGCCCCGCAAGGGGAGCGGCAGACGGGUGAGUAACGCGUGGGAAUCUACCUAGCUCUACGGAAUAGCUCCGGGAAACUGGAAUUAAUACCGUAUACGUCCUUCGGGAGAAAGAUUUAUCGGAGUUGGAUGAGCCCGCGUUGGAUUAGCUAGUUGGUGGGGUAAUGGCCUACCAAGGCGACGAUCCAUAGCUGGUCUGAGAGGAUGAUCAGCCACACUGGGACUGAGACACGGCCCAGACUCCUACGGGAGGCAGCAGUGGGGAAUAUUGGACAAUGGGCGAAAGCCUGAUCCAGCCAUGCCGCGUGAGUGAUGAAGGCCCUAGGGUUGUAAAGCUCUUUCAACGGUGAAGAUAAUGACGGUAACCGUAGAAGAAGCCCCGGCUAACUUCGUGCCAGCCGCCGCCGUAA